CACUGCAGUGUAAGGAUAGACUGAUUAUCGGCCCUGGCUGAUUAUCGGUUUGUUUUUUGGCAGUUUGCAGAUUAUCUGUAUCAACGUUUUAUUUGCCUGAUAACCGAUAAAGUUAAUUACAUAAAAAGUG